UGUCGACUACCUCAGUCAGCUGGUAGAAAUAGUCCACGUUGAACGAUAUGCUGUAGGUCCUCAUCUUACCGGUGAGAAGCCACGCGCCAGUUAGUGAAUGAACGUUCCGAUUGUCGGAUGGGUUGACGUCCACAGUUUCUCGCAUACACCCCCUAGUUCACAGUGUGUGCGUAAUUGUGUAACGAUACCAGUCGAGUAUUUGUGUCCCCGAAUGUAUAUGGAGAAGUGUAUGUCAAAUACGUAUCUAAGGGUUUAUGCGUGCAAUUAAUUUGACUAACCAAAACAAUGUGUUGUGCAGAUCGCGCCCUGAACGUUUCCAGUGAUAGCCUCGAACACUAUAAACUAAGGUGAAAACGUCCUAUGCAAAAAAAUACUCCCAAACAAGCACGAAAAACAAUCAAGCUACUCCCGUGGAUGCGCUACUCGGUCUAUUGAUGCAGAAAGUAAAGAACACACUACACUGAACCAACGCAACAACCACUAUUCAUGCUAACAGAGAGGUUAAAUCUGCAUCGAUAGCUCACCUCUAGAUCAGAUGUGCUUGUGCGUUUGAACAUGCGAUCGCACCAAACGGGCAGUUGAAACAAUAGAAACAGUAUACCAAGGGCAUGAACACCGGGAAUGCUGUCAAACCACCGAUAACAGCGUUUUCGGGGAGACUUUGUUGGCAACCUUAAUGGGAUGCAGCUUGCUCCCAUCAGCUGCAGAUGCAGCAUCACACCUGCAUCAGACAACCGCACCACGCUUCAUGCGACGGUCAUCAUUCCUACACAAGCGUUGCGUGUAUUUUCUAAGGCACUAGCACGAAAAUACACACACACAAAGGACACAGAUGUCGAUACCAUUGAAUAUAUGGAAAAGAUACAUCUCCAUUAGCCAAUGACACUGCUGAUGCGAUAGUGUUUAAUGCGUGAGCGUUCAUCGGUUGAUGUGUGCGUGCAAUCCAUCCGGGGUCAUCGAUCGUAACGUCAACGGGGUUGACCGGCGAGCACACCUCACUCGAGAACUGGCAAUAUUAGCGAGCGCACGUGAUAGAGCAAGCCGGGAAGCAAAUUGUAUGUUUAUAUUUAAAUUGUAAUUUACGUGAAUACAAGAUGGAUUGUGUGUCAUUUAUUCAAAAAGUAAAACGCGUGUAUUUCUCAAUGUCUAUCCAAGAAAGAAAAGGAACAUAGCAUGCACAAUAUCUAUUUAUAUGCAACGAGUCUAUCGAUUUAUUUUCUUUAUAUUGAAUAAGAUAAACCUAAAUAAGGAUGAGUUGACCCAUGUCUUUGUCUUAUGGCAUUUCAUACCCUCCCUAAUGUUAUAAUUAAUAGAUAGAUUCGCUCACCUAAUCAUAGCAGUAAGGGCUCGGACGGCCCAUAUGGACAAUAGCAGUUUGAGUCAAUGGGAUUUUUGCCACAUGUUCGAGAUUAUGUCUUUGGGUGAGUGUCUAGAAAGUUGCAUGUUGCUACUUCAUCAUAUGUUGGACUAGCAGAUUCCCACACCGGCUAUCUCCUCACUAUGUCAAACGCUA